rnacentral:rRNA from 1 species
AACGCGAAGAACCUUACCUGGGUUUGACAUACACCAGAAAGCUAUAGAGAUAUAGCCCCCCUUGUGGUUGGUGUACAGGUGGUGCAUGGCUGUCGUCAGCUCGUGUCGUGAGAUGUUGGGUUAAGUCCCGCAACGAGCGCAACCCUUAUCUUAUGUUGCCAGCGCGUUAUGGCGGGGACUCGUGAGAGACUGCCGGGGUCAACUCGGAGGAAGGUGGGGACGACGUCAAGUCAUCAUGCCCCUUAUGUCCAGGGCUUCACACAUGCUACAAUGGCCGGUACAGAGGGCUGCGAUACCGUGAGGUGGAGCGAAUCCCUUAAAGCCGGUCUCAGUUCGGAUCGGGGUCUGCAACUCGACCCCGUGAAGUUGGAGUCGCUAGUAAUCGCAGAUCAGCAACGCUGCGGUGAAUACGUUCCCGGGCCUUGUACACACCG